CCCAGGCAUGCUGGGCAAUGUGGUGAUGGGCUUCCACCCGCCCAGCAGCUGCACGAAACUCGCCAAGACUGUGCGCUACCUGCAGCCCUGCUGCCUGCUUCUGGGCACCAACAUGGACAAAAGGCCACUUCAUCGCGGGUACAGGCUCUCUGGUUCCAGCGGUGGAGAUGAUGACCCAAUGUCUGGCGAUCAUCAUCUGGAAGCCCAGCCGCUUAGUCCUCUCCUGCGUGUGGCAGGAACACUGCAUCAACGCGGAAUGCGCACUGUCAUGGUGGGGGACUGUCUGGACACACACAUCCUCCUGGGCACCACCUGUGCCUUGAAGACCAUCCAGACCCUCACUGGAGUCUCCAAGCUAGAAGAUGUGAAGAGAAAUCAGGGAAGUGACUGCAAGUCUAAGAAGAAUGUGGUCCCUGACUUCUAUGUUGAAACUUAUGUUU
rnacentral:lncRNA from 1 species